CUAUACAUGCAAGUCGAGCGAACAGACGAGGAGCUUGCUCCUUUGACGUUAGCGGCGGACGGGUGAGUAACACGUAGGUAACCUACCUAUAAGACUGGGAUAACUUCGGGAAACCGGAGCUAAUACCGGAUAAUAUUUCGAACCGCAUGGUUCGAUAGUGAAAGAUGGCUUUGCUAUCACUUAUAGAUGGACCUGCGCCGUAUUAGCUAGUUGGUAAGGUAACGGCUUACCAAGGCAACGAUACGUAGCCGACCUGAGAGGGUGAUCGGCCACACUGGAACUGAGACACGGUCCAGACUCCUACGGGAGGCAGCAGUAGGGAAUCUUCCGCAAUGGGCGAAAGCCUGACGGAGCAACGCCGCGUGAGUGAUGAAGGUCUUCGGAUCGUAAAACUCUGUUAUUAGGGAAGAACAAACGUGUAAGUAACUGUGCACGUCUUGACGGUACCUAAUCAGAAAGCCACGGCUAACUACGUGCCAGCAGCCGCCGGUAAUAA
rnacentral:rRNA from 1 species